CUCCUUCUCCCUCUCCCCCUCCUUCUCCUUCUCCUUCUACUCCUUCUCCUUUUCUCCUCUCCUCUCCUCACACCCAGACAAGGGACCUGAGCAAGCACCAUGCCCCCAACCCCCCCCACACCCCAAAAUCCUUGCCCACCCCUGCCGCUGCGACAUCCCCAUCACAGACGGGCAGGAGCAGGGAGUGCGGCUGUGCCCUGCGGGCUCCCGGCACCUCCACCCUUGGCAAGCAGCUCCCCGGCCCCGUAUUUACCUUGUGGGGUUCCCCACCCAGCUUGGUGCUGAGCAGGGCCAGCACCACGCAGCACACCCCUGCCCCGAGCACCUCCCCAGCACCCCAAUCCUGGCCUGCACCACGGGGACGUCUGGCAGGCGGGACCACGGUCCCUUUGGGUUAAAAAAAACCAGACUUUGGGCACGCAGCCCCGCAGACCCCGUCGUUUGCCCCCAUUUUUUGGAAACCUCACUAAAACAAUACCUCAACCACAAACCGCCGCCGCCGCCGCCUGGCUCUUACACCCGGCAGCUGCCGUCCCCCGGAGCCCUUUCCAAAAAAUCCCAGUUUGUUCCCUAAACCCCGAUGCGAUUUUUGCCGGGCUUUGUGGCCGUUCCCCUCAACCUCCACGAACGCCUGGGUUCAUGCAGGGCCCCGGGGCCCCACGGAGGUUUCCGUGCCGGAGCCAUUUCGUUCCCCGCCUCCAAAUUUCUCUUUUUUCCACGAAUUCCUCAGCCUCCCCCCCCUCCCCGCCUCGUCUGCGAAAGCAAACCCAGACACAUCUGCGCACAUCUGCGCUUGCGGUGCAAGCCACGCAGGGUUGGGAUAAUUCGUCUGGGUGCUUCUAACCAGUCAUUUUGGGAUUUUUUUAGACAUUUCGUGGGUCAGAUCACCCUAAGGCAGAGGCUGGGGUUGAGCGGGGCGAUGCCGGAAGGGGAGGCCGCCUGCAGAACACCCAGCAGCGUCCUCUCCCCACUCCAUCAGGAUUUUAUGGGCCAGCAGGCGGGUUUAGGAGGGACAGGGAGGUGACAGAGAAGCAACCCCCCAGCAGCUUCCAGCUUUGCUCAGCACCAAGGCACUCCCAGGAUGAAGCCUCCCGUUAGCAAGAUCACCCUGGUGCCCCCCCAGCCCACCCUCGUGUUGGAGCUCAGACAAGCCCCCCAGCUUGAACAACCUCCUAAAUCCUCCCAGGCCUGGAAAACACCCCGAAAAACACCUGACGGUGCCUGCCUCUCCCAAGCCACCCCCCCAAGCCAGCCCCCGCUCCCCAGCCCUGGACUUUCCUGUCCCGCCCGGGGCUCUUUCACAGUUUUGAUUCAUUUUGGAGCAGAACAGCAGCACGCGCAGGCAGAAAACCAGGGAGCAGCUCGUUGCACAAGAGGAGCCGCCAGGGCCUCCCCUCCCCGAAACGCGCUCGCCGUGCCUCUCGCCAGACAGGUUCCCAGCACGGCUCAGCCAAUUCCUCCCUGCCUCUGCGACGCUUUUCGUGCCAGGAGUUUUUUCCAGAUGAGGUUUUCCUCAAGAUGGUCAUCCCCUCCCAAACUUUGUCCCACCUGGAGGCCCCAAUUCCCACGCGAUUCCAAGUUGUCCCAUGGGUUGCUUCUGUUUUGUGGCAUUCCCUCCAAAUCCCACAGGUUUCAUUACUCGCUGGGGGAAUCUGGGGAAAAUUAGUGCUGUUUUCCUGGAACCCAGAAAGGCAAAAUAUCUUCUGCUGCUGCUCA